AGACUUGGGCUAUUGGAUGGGUCCACUGGUGAGAUGGGCUCAGUCACCAUCCAAGGAAAAUAAGAGCCUCGAGUGUGAACUCUCGGAGUCCCCAAACCCUUACAGACGCAGAGAUGAGAGAGAGCGCUCCCUUUCCCACUGACGGCAGCUAAUCAAGGGAGAAGGGAGAUGAGUGACUCGAUGAUGCCAGGAUUCGAGGAGGACUCGACCAAGGGGAUCCGUCGUUGAUGUGCGGAGAUCAACGACUGGAAGAGGGACAGGCAGCGGCGGAGACGAUAGGGGGAAGCUCCGGCAGCAAGAGAUCGCGUUCCGAGAAGUUUGGAGGUCGCUGAAGGCUCGCCGGAUUCUGGGUUUGAGUCGCCGGUAGCGAGCCCUUUGCCUUAGACAAUGGGUGAGAGUCCCGCAAUGUUGGAGAAGUCCGGUGACAAGAUCUGUAGGUCCUGAAAGUUAAGUGACUAGUCUGGAAUUUAGUUAUUCUUAAGUCUUGCUUCCGUAGUUCUGAACUUGUGGAUGGUUAACAGUUAAGGACUUGGGUCAGAUUUGUCAACGUCUGGAAGUUCCAGAUCAGUUAGUGUAGCGGAGGCAGUUGGAGGACUAGUGCAACGUUUCUGCCCCAGCAAGUUUCAGAAUGUUGCAAACAAGUAAAUGGAGCAUACUCGGUCGUUUGAACUCCAGAAGACACGUGGUCAAAAUCUACGGACUCGUAGCAGCAAGAAGAAUCAUGUCAAGUCAUAGGUUCAAAAAGGCGCUAGGCAUAAGUCGGGCGUUAAGGUCGUACCUAGUGCCUGCUUGCGUAAGCGUAGCCUAAGCGCGCCUAAGCGGUGGAACCAAAAUAGCAAAUUAGGAUUAAUGUAAACAAAAAUUAGUUUAUUAGGACUAAAGUUUUAUGUUGACUACAUAACGUUAGUUCAAUACUACAAACCUUAGUGACCAAUUAAAACAUUUAUCAACUAAUCUUCUAUCUUAUUCCUUUUACUUAGUCUUUUCCGCCAUCUCUUUGUUGCAAAUCGAACUUUCAAACCUUGUAUCUUCUCUUCUCUCCCUUUGGUUCCACAUCAUCAACUACAAUAUUGAUUAUUCUUUACUCUCACUAGCUAUCUUAAUUAAUCAAACAUUAGAAUAUGGUUUGAACCUAUCAAGGAUGACCGUCGUCGUUGACUGUGGCGGCGGCGAUAGAGUCAGAGACGAUGGUGGCGGCGGCGAUAAGUCAGAG
rnacentral:lncRNA from 1 species